rnacentral:sRNA from 1 species
UCAGGGUCUGCAUGACCCAGUUGGGAACAAGGAUCCCAUGUUGAUUGACUCCCCACCUUGACAAGUAUCUUGUUGUUGGGAUGACCAGCAUGUGACUAUUGGGACAAGAUAGAAGUAUUUACAAAGCCAACAGUUUUGACCAAUUUAUGCGAAUUAGGGCAGAUUUGAGAGUACACUUAAGAGUUUUAAACUUUGUUUGAAAAAACAAAAAACAGUGUUCUUGGAAUAGUUUCUUUGGAGUAGAGCGCAUAAGGCCAAAUUUUAUCUGAUUGUUGGUGAGCACCUGUGGGUUUUUGUGUUCCUUAUGUAGUAUCCCUUAGGUUUGGGUCGAACAAUGUAAACCUUAUCAUUUCCACUGUUUUUAACAUCUCAAAUGAUGUCCCACGUCCUAGGUGCCAAUCCACAAAUGCCCACUCCUACAUCUUCUCCCUCCUCCCUCCAUUUUGCCACUAUGAUGCUGCUCUAAACUCACCCAACUUUUCGAAACCCACCACUCCAGCCUCCUCCUACGUUCGAGCAUCACAUCUCCACAGGACCAAGGGCCUUCCAUCCCAUUGGUUUCAAAUAAUGCCAUCCUCUGAUAUAUAUUGGUUGGUGGUCUAUUUUCUGGGAAGCUCUGGGUCAUCAGCCAGCAUAUAUUGUUCUUCCUCUAUUGCAGGACCUCUCUGUCACAGGACAUCCACUGUUUAAGCACCACCACUACCUCAGGAAGUCCACUGUCUGUGUGUCAACUCCCACUGUUACAGGACCACAAGUGUCUCAGCACUUCAACUAUCACAGCACUUCUACUGUUCAGGAGCUCAAGAGUCUCAGCAUCUCAAGUGUCACAGGACCUCCUUUGUCCAAGAACUGGACUGUCCAAGCAAUACUGCUAUUGCGGGACCUCCACUGUCACAGGAUUUCCACUGUAGGAGCACUACAACUGUCUCAGGACACCCACUGUCCUAUAACCUCCACUAUCCCAGGAAUUCCACUGUCGUAGCACCACCCGUAGCAACUAAAGUGUUUCAGGACAUCAACUGAAGCAAGAUCUCCCAUGAUUCUGCAACUUCACUGCCCCAGGAUCUCUACAGUGACAGGAAUACUUCUGUAUCAGCAAUUCCAAUUUUGCAGGACCUCCACUGUAGCAGAACCUCAAUUGUGCAGCAGCUCCCCUGUAUGUAGAUUGACCUCCACGAUCUCAGUGCCUCCACUUUCAAAGGACCUUCACUGUCACAGAACCGGCGCUAUUUCAGUGCCUCCACUGUCGCAGGACCUACCUCUUCACAGGAUCUGCACUGUUGCAGCAACUGUAAUUUCAAUUUUUCAAAGUCAUUGCUGGUUAUUAGAUUUCAGGCUGAAUGAAAUGAGAUGUUACUUUUGAAAGCAUAAGAAUUUGUUCUAUACCUCUUGUGAUAAAUGCCGUGUUUGCUAGGACCAGUAAACUAUGGAAGACUUCUUCAGCUCAUACCACUCUCCACCUCACUUUGUGGAAGCUGGUGUUUUUAGAGUGUGAUAAACUUCAGGUGAAUGGAUGCAUUCAGCUGCACCACGCUCUAGAGUGGACUACACAGCAGUCAUAUUGAGUCCUUGCUGGGAAGAGAAGAAAUCCAGAAGAAGGAGAAGGCUUGGGUUGGGGGAAGAAUCAUAAAAUACUUAGAGGAUAUUAGAAGGUAAGAAUUAUGGGGAACUGGAAAACAGAGCCAAAGGAAGAAUGAGCACAGAGCAAACUGGGAAGGACAAAGUACAAAGGCACUUGGGUUUUGCCAUCUGCGUGUUCUCUGGACAAUCUCCCUGGGCCACAUUUCUGGGAGAAAACUCUUCCCCCACCCCCUUGUAAGGUUUCAUUCUUGAAGGAAAGCAGCAACACAACUUCAUCAGUGAAUUUCCCCAUUGGAAUUGGUUCAUCCUUUAAUGCUUCUGGGAAAUCCCGAGCUGGGGAAUGUCCUGCUCUCUGCUGAGAGACAGCAGGAAAGUAGGUCGUCCUCUGUUUUCUCGUUGCUACAGCUCUUCUAAGUAUGGCUGAUUGUUGAGUGAAGACACAGGAUACUUCUGGUGUGUAUGUAUGCUUUGUUCACUGUGGGUGUUGUUGGGAGUGUCCUGAAAAGAAGGGCAUGCCCAAUGGCACUUCUGCUUCCUCUUUGACUAGCCUUAUGAUCAUAGGGAGACACUAGGCCAUUGGAAGAUGAGGAGAGCAAUGUGUCUAAGUUGUGUUCACUUCUAUUCCUAUUUAGUCCUAGAGGGAAAUCAGCAAGGGUGUGAGGAAUGCUGCUGUGCACUGACUGUGUGGUGUGAGGAAUGCUGCUGUGCACUGACUGUGUGGUGUGAGGAAUGCUGCUGUGCACUGACUGUGUGGUGUGAGGAAUGCUGCUGUGCACUGACUGUGUGGUGUGAGGAAUGCUGCUGUGCACUGACUGUGUGCUGUGAGGAAUGCUGCUGUGCAUUGACGCUGCCUUUUUUCUUUUCUCCCUACACCUGCAUCCUUCUGGUGGCUCAGGUUGGACAACUAGGUGCCCAUGACCAACUCCUCAUUGUGGAUGGAUUUAGUCUGGUUGGACUUUCUCAGGAAAGGCAGCUGAACUCAUGACUAGUACCAGUUCCACGGUUACCCUGGAAGUUGCAAAUCAAGACAUCCUCUCUCACUGCCUGUCCACCUUUCUUACCAACCCAUUGUCCUCCAUGGUGCAGAGAGAUCAGCCUCCUAUUCCUGGAGAGAAGUGUGCAUAUACCACUAGAACAGCAGCUAACAUCUGUCUCCACUGGAGACCUCUGCACUGAGGUCUGAGAUGACCUGGAACACUUUCUUACUUGUGAAAUAUCUGACUUCUUUGAUACAGUUCUCAACAAAUUACAUUAACUAUCAUUCCUGAAUUUUGUUCACUGAAGUUUUAUUUUUAUUACGCUACUCAAGUAAACUAAUACUAAAUUAUUGAAUCUGGGAAAAUGAGAAUUAGUGUAAAUGAGUAAAUAAGAAAAUGUGAAAUGUUUUUUUAUUGAAAGCAUAGGGUCAACAUUACAUUUUUAGCACAGCAUUUAAAAUACAUGCUUUUUAGAAAACCAUUUAUUUAUUUCCUUUAUAAUCCAAUAUUAGCCCUUCCUGUCUUCCCAGUAACCCACCAUACAAAUCUUCCCUCCAUCGCCCUUUCCUGAAAUGGCAAAGCUCCUUUCGGGAUUUCAACCCCCUUGAAUGCUUUUUAAAAGAUUGUAAAACAGAUCCCUGAGGAAAAAGUACGCCUUUUAUGCAGGUUUAAGCAUCUGAUUGUUUAUUUCUUUACAUUUCACAAGAGCAGACCCCUCAACCUAGACCUGGUUAGGAGCUAAAUUGCAGGAGUGACAAUGCCACAAACAGCAUGCAUCAGUGUAUAGAAAAAUCUUUUUAUUCCUUCAUAGACACAGGAACAGCUGGCUACUUGGCGGGUGAGCCAUAAAGCAGUGUCAGGUCUGGUUAUUCACCCAUUCCCCAGUUUUUGUUACCUCCUCUGUGAGGAAGAAACAUGCAUGAAAUUUUGCUAACAUCUCUGGUGAGUCCCUGAAGUAGUAGAGCUUCCUCUUUUCUUUUCUCAGCCUCUUACCACUUCCAAGGAAGAACUUCAGGAAGAGUUUUACCUACUUGAGCUCCAUUGAGUAGAGGCUGGCAAGGGUCUCUAGUGUGACAGUAAUAUGUGGAUCCAGAGCUCCUCAUUGGAAUCUGUGACAUCCAGACAGGAGCACCUGAACCCUUCCUCCAAGUCAGUUACCCCUGCUUCCACUCUGACUAAGAGUGGUCCUGGCCAUUGGGAAACCCCAGCAGAGGUGCUGGCCACCACUGUUACUGUCUCCCAGCCCAUAUGAACAGACCUCCCUCCACCACCUCCUCUACCACAGGUCCACUACACCAGAUUUUGGCGGCAUUUUAGUGGAUUUGCCCCUCCCACCACCUUCUGCAAACAAGGCAGGAUCCCAGUCUGUUCAGGUGGCUGCUGGCUAGCAAAAGAGAGUGAGGAGCAGCAGCGGUGGUCUGAGAUAUAGAAGGCCUGCCUGGACAAGGAAGCAGAGAGGAAGCACAGGGAGCAGGAGAGGAAUGGGUGACAGAUGCACUCUCAUUCCCUGAACCUGCUUCCUUCUCUUCUUUGACCACACCGACCAAACCAGGAAAACCUUCCACACUGCAGAGGCCCAAGAAACAGUCAUUCUGGUGUUGUAGUCCCCGCAGCAGCCCCCCACUAUUGAGCACAGGGAUCUGCAGUUCAUAACUAUCAGUAAAGAGGAGUUGUCCUCUGGGGAGUCUGUCUCCAGACCCAUGGAAACAAGAUGCCAGGGAGAAGCUGGAGAAGCAACAGCAAAUGCACCUUGUGGAUAUGCUAAGCAAGGAGAUCCAUGAGCUGCAAAACAAGGGGGACGGUAGUGCAGAGGAGAGUGACUGCCUGUGGAAGAAUAUGCUGGAGUGGCAGUUCCAGAAGAGACUUCAGACCAUAUUUCUUGUGUUUCUCCCAGGUUCAUUUCAGAAUACUGUUCAAGAAGCUCAACAUUUGUCGUUUACAUAGUAGAAAUUUAUAACAACAAUGUUUUUGCCCUUCUUGCCUUAGACAGUUCUACAGUGGUGUCUAUGGUUAAGUGCCAGGCAGUGAGAACCCAGGAGUGAUAUUCAGAGGUACAAAGGAUGACCUGCAGGCCUGUCAUCAGUGCCUUGGCGUUUGUGGGACUCAUCCACAGAGGCAUGCAACUCAGAGAACGGUACCCCAACUUGGUGCACAGGAACUCUUUCAGGUGUCACUUGAUUGUCACAGGUUUCUGCUCGGUCAGCAAGGAAGGGAAGCCUAGCCCUGUGCCAGGAAUGACUGCAUAUGGUCAACACACACUACCCUGGAAGACCCGAGAGUUCAAGGACGGCCAACUUUCACUUAAGCAAACUUGUCCACAGACUGCGUGGGUCCCAUCAGCUGAGAGUAGCCUCCACAUUGCAGUGAUGUGCAAACUUCUGCCUUUCAGCCAUGAUGGACUUUAGGAUCUAACCUGAGGACCCUACACAAGGCACAGGUAGGUGAUGUGUAAAUGAGGCAUGUUACUGGGUCAGGUCUUCAGUGCAGUGUCUUAAGCUGUCAGGCUUUUGGGAGGGCAUAUGCUUCUCUAUUAAAUGAGCUGGCUUCUCUGAAGGCCUCAACUCUGCUGUGUCUGCCGCUCAUGCUCCCUCCUCCAAGAAUCUAACUGUCCCUAGCUCUCUGUGACUGGCUGGUCAGUCAGCCUUCAUGCCACUCCACAGCCACUCUACAACACAGAGCCCACACUGUCCUCUGCAGAAGUUUCACAGGGCUGCUGCUUUAGUCUCUCUGUUGCGCUAUGGGGGUCCAAAGUCAAGUUUCUUAGGUCCCUAGGUGUCCCUGAAAAGGCUCUAGAACAAGGAAGAGGUGAAGAAAUCAGGAAAUAAACUCCUGCAGUACUUCAUGACUACCACUGGAGGGCUCUACACCUUUCUGGUCCUAGUGUGCCACUCAGCAAGCCCUCUCACUCACUCUAAGGUUCUGAGCCUGAUGGAGAGGACUCCUGCUAAACCCAGUGUUCCCAAGAAACUGGCUGUACCGGCAGGGCUAACUGUAGAGGAUUCUCCACGACCCUGAGAACACAAUUUGGAAAUCUCAGGUAGGCAGGGUGUGUGGGGGAGCAACCAGGGCUGGAUGGAGACCUUACCCAGAA